rnacentral:lncRNA from 1 species
UGGCGGGCUGCAGGUCCCGAGCCCUGCGCCCGCCGGAAGGCAGCUAAGGCCCGGCGAGAAAUCCAUUGCAGCGCCGGUGGGCCGGCACUGCUGGGGGACACGACGCACCCUCCGCAGCUGCUGGCCUGCGCGCUAAGCCCCUCACUGCCUGGGGCCGGCGGGCCGGCCGUCCGCUCAGAGUGCAGGGCCCGGCAAGCCCACGCCCAUCCGGAACUCUAGCUGGCCCGCAAGCGCUGCGCGCAGCCCGUGUUCCCGCCCGAGCCUCUCCCUCCACACCUCCCGGCAAGCUGAGGGAGCUGGCUCCGGCCUCAACCAGCCCAGAGAGGGGCCCCCACAGCGCAGUGGUGGGCUGAAGGGCUCCCUGAGCAUGGCCAGAGCGGAUGCCGAGGCCGAGGAGGCGCCAAGAGCGAGCGAGGGCUGCGAGGACUGCCAGCAAGCUGUCACCUCUCAAUGGGGAAAAGGCAAUACUUACAUAUGGUGAAACAAAUCCCAACAAUGUUUACCAGUAAUGGAAUGAUCGAGAGGCUGUUGAUCAGAAAACGUAUGGAACUGUAUUUUGGGAAGCUUGAAAUAUUUUCAUCAUUUGACUUGUGGUGCCAUGGUAUAUAAGUAAGUAAAAUGUAUUGAAUUUUACAAUUAAGAUCUGUGCCUUAUACUGUAAGUAAUGUAUCUCAAUGAAAAAGAAAAAAAUCAUUACCUUUAUUUCCUUGUUCUUUAUUACAACUUGAUCUCAUAUCUUUUUGACCAAAGACUUACUGUAUAAGAAUACAUAUUUUAAUAUAGUGCUGAUA